CAUGUGUAGCGGUGAAAUGCGUAGAUAUAUGGAGGAACACCGGUGGCGAAAGCGGCUCUCUGGUCUGUCACUGACGCUGAGGCUNGAAAGCGUGGGUAGCGAACAGGAUUAGAUACCCUGGUAGUNCACGCCGUAAACGAUGAGUGCUAGGUGUUAGGUCCUUUCCGGGACUUAGUGCCGCAGCUAACGCAAUAAGCACUCCGCCUGGGGAGUACGACCGCAAGGUUGAAACUCAAAGGAAUUGACGGGGGCCCGCACAAGCGGUGGAGCAUGUGGUUUAAUUCGAAGCAACGCGAAGAACCUUACCAGGUCUUGACAUCCCGAUGCCCGCUCUAGAGAUAGAGUUUUUCUUCGGAACAUCGGAGACAGGUGGUGCAUGGUUGUCGUCAGCUCGUGUCGUGAGAUGUUGGGUUAAGUCCCGCAACGAGCGCAACCCUUAUUGUUAGUUGCCAUCAUUGAGUUGGGCACUCUAGCGAGACUGCCGGUAAUAAACCGGAGGAAGGUGGGGAUGACGUCAAAUCAUCAUGCCCCUUAUGACCUGGGCUACACACGUGCUACAAUGGUUGGUACAACGUGUCGCAAGCCGGUGACGGCAAGCUAAUCUCUGAAAGCCAAUCUCAGUUCGGAUUGUAGGCUGCAACUCGCCUACAUGAAGUCGGAAUCGCUAGUAAUCGCGGAUCAGCACGCCGCGGUGAAUACGUUCCCGGGCCUUGUACACACCGCCCGUCACACCACGAGAGUUUGUAACACCCAAAGUCGGUGAGG
rnacentral:rRNA from 1 species